GACGAACGCUGGCGGCGUGCUUAACACAUGCAAGUCGAACGAUGAAGCGGGUGCUUGCACUCGUGGAUUAGUGGCGAACGGGCGAGUAACACGUGAGUAACCUGUCCUUUUCUUUGGGAUAACGGCUGGAAACGGCUGCUAAUACUGGAUAUUCAGGCUGCAUCGCAUGGUGUGGUUUGGAAAGGUUUUUUCUGGGAUUGGGUGGGCUCGCGGCCUAUCAGCUUGUUGGUGGGGUGAUGGCUUACCAAGGCUUUGACGGGUAGCCGGCCUGAGAGGGUGGGCGGGCGGACGGGGAUGGAGAAACGGCCCAGCGUCCGGGGGGGGGAGGGGGGGGGUAUUAUUGAAAAAGGGAGGAAGGUUUGAGGCGGCGCCGCGGGGGGAGGGGUGUAGCCUUUGGGGUUUUGACUUCUUUUUGCCGGGAAAAAAGGCCAUUUUUGGGGUUGGUGGAUGGGGGGGGGGAAAAAGCCGCCGGCAACCUCCGUC
rnacentral:rRNA from 1 species